UACGUAGGGGGCAAGCGUUGUCCGGAAUCAUUGGGCGUAAAGCGCGCGUAGGCGGCCCGAUAAGUCUGCUGUAAAAGUCAACGGCUCAACCGUUGAAAGCCGGUGGAUACUGUCGGGCUAGAGUUCGGAAGAGGCAAGUGGAAUUCCUGGUGUAGCGGUGGAAUGCGCAGAUAUCAGGAGGAACACCUGUAGCGAAGGCAGCUUGCUGGGACGAAACUGACGCUAAGGCGCGAAAGCGUGGGGAGCGAACAGG
rnacentral:rRNA from 1 species